rnacentral:rRNA from 1 species
CCUACGGGUGGCAGCAGUGGGGAAUAUUGGACAAUGGGCGAAAGCCUGAUCCAGCCAUGCCGCGUGUGUGAAGAAGGCCUUCGGGUUGUAAAGCACUUUCAGUGGGGAAGAAAGCCUUGGGGCUAAUACCCUCUAGGAAUGACAUCACCCACAGAAGAAGCACCGGCUAACUCCGUGCCAGCAGCCGCGGUAAUACGGAGGGUGCGAGCGUUAAUCGGAAUUACUGGGCGUAAAGUGCGCGUAGGCGGUUUGAUAAGCCGGUUGUGAAAGCCCCGGGCUCAACCUGGGAACGGCAUCCGGAACUGUCAGGCUAGAGUGUAGGAGAGGAAGGUAGAAUUCCAGGUGUAGCGGUGAAAUGCGUAGAGAUCGGGAGGAAUACCGGUGGCGAAGGCGGCCUUCUGGACUGACACUGACGCUGAGGUGCGAAAGCGUGGGUAGCAAACAGGAUUAGAUACCCCUGUAGUC